UUGUUUUUUUUUUAUUUUGGCUAGGGUUUCCCCUUUUUCAUUUCUCGUUUUUUUUUUUGUAAUGAUGAUUUUUAACCUGCAGAUGUUGGUGAUGAUUUUUAAUCUACAGGUGAUGGUGUACCUUUACUCGCUAUAUUGACGAUAGAUCAACCCAUGUGAUGAUGCCGUGUAUCAAUAAGGUGAUAAAUUUAAUAUUUUAUUAUGUAGUAUUUUUGUAAUUUUUAUUUAUGGAUUUGUAUAUGGGUAUUUUUAUAUUUUUGCAUAUAUUUGUGAUCAACAAUUGCAAUAGUCAGAUUUCACGUUGGUAGAUCACACAAUAGCAAACUCAUGCAAGCCAUGGCUUUUAGCGAUUCCAUCUAAGUGACAUUUGGCUACAUAUGGUUUCAAUUAUGGAGUUACUUUACUGAGAUGUUGCUACAAUUGGUUUCAGGUAAUUUGCUGUGUUUUUUCUCAUGGAUUUCAAUAAAAUAGGAAAACAAAGACCUUGAUUAGAAACUGUCAGAAACAACAAUGAUUUGAUUUCAAUAUUUUUCUUUCUUAAUACGUUUACUCCACGAAAAAUAUGAUAUUGAAAUAAUAAAAAUAAUUGUCAUAUUUAGAACCGAAGAAGAUGUUCUUUGAGCAAAAAUAUUAACAAGAUGUUUCUAAUAUUUUUUAAUGGAUGCUAAUGGGCUUAUUUUUGGUAAAUACAACUGCACUUCCAAAUUUUUCCAAUAGUUGCUUAUUCACUUAUUUUUGGUAAAUAAAAUGUUAUUUCCAAAUAAUUCAGUAUAAUUUCCUUAUUUUCUAUUACAAAAUUAUUCUUCGGCUAUAUCGAAAGCUAAAAUUCAUCCGGCAACGUUACCGUGGAUGUUUUAUUUUUAGAUCAUCCCAGAAGUGCACGAAAUCAACACUGCUCUUCUCCUUGGAUAACAACUCGGUAAUCUAUAUAUGGUUUUUAAUUUUUCAUUCACGGGAAAAGCUUUUAGAGUUUUGUUAUGUGAUAAUAAAAUAUCAAUAGGUUUGAUCAUAACCGUUUUUUGUUUUGCAGAUCUUAUAAAUGCUUAAACUAAUGUUUUUGUUUGAUCCUUGGUUGUCGUUAGAUCUUAUAAAGCUCUUAGGUUUUGUGAUGUGAUAAUAACAUAUCAUUUCAGUGUUCUGCCAUGAGUCUGUAGCUUAGCUUUAGAUUUACAUAAAACCAAUUUUCGUUUUAAAGAUAUCCUCUAUCAUGCACCCGUUGUAGCUAUUAUAAACGGGCAUACGCCAAGCAAGAUAUGAACUCAUUUUUGCCAAUAUUGUUGUCGUUGCGAUAUCAAACACCAAUAUUGUUUUUGUGCAUAAAACGAGUUUUGCUUAUGUUUAUAUAAGUUGUUGCUACUUCACCUGUUGCUAAAUCAGGAAAAUAAAGGUUUGUUCAAUUAAAUAACUGAUCGUUUUAUUUUUUUGAAGCAAGAUAACUGACCAUGUUCAUACGAUUGUUCUUUUGUUCAUUUUAUCUUUUUAAAUUUUUUUGUUGUUGAUUUACUAUCGAUUUUAUGGGUUUUGUAGUAUGAAAUCAAUAAGAAGUUGAACCUAAAAAAUCAAACUCUUAAAGAUUGACGAGAAGGUUUCCAUUCAAAAGAAUGGAGAAUCAAGCAGCGAAGAAGAUUCACUUCUGAUGAUGCAAGAUAAAUCACUUUCUCAAGUACUUAAUUGUUUCAUGUGCACUACUUUUUCAUUUAUAGUAAUGCUGCUGCCGUGAUGUUACAUCGGCAUUUGAUACUCCAUAAUGUAAAUCCAUUUGCUACUCCCAUAAUGUUUGCACCUAUUUAAUAUCAAAAAUGCUGGUAGUAAUAAGAUGGAAGAAUGAUAAGAACAAACCAAAUAGUUCUUAAAUUGUUGUAAUGCACUUAAAAUUUUAAAAUAAUCCAAAUUUAUGAUUGUUGUCAUCCAAUUUGAAAUGGGUUUGUUCAAGCUUGCUGACUGAUAUUCAUGGGCAUAAAUAAAUUGACUGUAAGCAACAAAACUUUGAAUUCUGGUAGUAGAGUAAUUUUGAAUUCUGAUAGUAGAGUAAUUUUGGAUUUUACUAAGCAAAAAGGGAUUCAUAGGGAUUUGAUAUGCAGGCAUCAAGGAGGAAAACUCCGGUUGCAAACUUGCAAUCCAACCACUAUCUUCUUUUUCUUUUCUUUUGUGUAUAUCUUUAUUUAUGAUUCUCUAAGGUGUGUUUUUUAUUUUGGAUUUUAGGACAAGAUGGUUGAACCGGUUUUAGAAUUUUUGUUUGCAGGAAUAUGGGUUCUUCUUUGCCAUGAAGAAGAACAAGGAUGAUGGCUGACUCUGGUUCACAAUUUACCAAUACUCAAAUUUUUGUAAGACAUUUUGAAUUUUGAUUGGUUUCGAAAAGUAGUGAACUGUAAUUUGAUUAUAUUAUUGGGAUACCUUUGUUACACUAAAAUACUGAAGUAUUGGGAGUAUUAACUUACCAAGAAGAAAUAUGAUGGUGUCCGGACAAGAAAGAAAAGAUAUGUUUUUCCAAAGUCUUUUAAAAUCGAGCAUAUGUCCAACAUAUAUCGAGUAGAAAAAUGGAAAAUACCCAAUUGUCAUUGAUCAUUUUGCAGAACAAUCUUUAUUGUGUACGUAUACCAUACCAAGAAGGGUUCAUUAAUACCAUUGGAAAUUCGCCGAAGUUUUGUUUCUUUCUCCUACAGGUCAGACUUUACAUUGAAGAAAAAAAAAAGGAAUUCUGCAGAUGUUUAUUAUCCAGAUAUUUACGAUGGAACGUGACUAAGUAUGUGGGUUACCAAUUUUGAUGCAAAACUAGCUGUUUGUCGAUUGUAAGUUACAUACGAGGUUAUUUUGCACGGAUUCAGGGUUGUAAAAUUUAGUUUUCCAGUCAUGAGUACUGGUGAAACCAUCCUUUUUUGGUAUUCCUUAUUAGAUUUUUGUUUCGUUUUGCUAUUGCUGAUGAUUUUUCCAGCAAUAGCAAUAUCAUCUUUAAAGGACCUCUGAAGAACCAAGCUCGUACUUUAGAUUGGAUUCCAUCUGCUGGUAGGUUUUCAUGUAUUACUGGAUUAAUGUGGUUUUGUCAUGCGUGGAGUUACUAAUGAUUGGUAUCAUGCACCAGUUGCAGUCAGCAUCUCCUAAUGAUGCAGAAGUGAAAACAUCUUGCAGAAGAAGAAGAUCAUGUUAACCACACAAACUUGGUAGAGCAAUAGUUGCAUUUGUUGAUUUGCAUGAUGGUAAAUAAGAGGCAAUCUUAUUUUUAUUAUUGAAUUCCAAAUGACUUUAUUAUUUUGUUUUAUUUGAAAUAAGUCUAAUGACUUUAUCAUUCCAACAUGGAAACAAAGUAUUCGAAUAUGCCUAUCCUGCAACAAUUUUGAAUCCGGUGAAAUGAUUUGAAAAACUACAAAUCUUAAGAAAACUAAAUAGGGUUAUGUUCAGUGGCAUGAAGUACAUCGAUGGCAGCGAAUGGGGUGGGAACCAAAUCGAAACUGUUGUAAUCUAAAUACUUUGAUUGAAGAUCCAAAAUGUUGAGGAAAAGGAUCAUUUUAGGAAUGUACUCUUUUGUGCUGCAAUGUAAAUUUGACGCUCUUCUAAUUUUAUACAGCUUUGAGUUUGUUUUCAA